rnacentral:snRNA from 11 species
GGAUGUGAGGGCAAUCUAACUGUGAGUUUUGUCACCCCAUUGAUCGCCAGGGUUGAUUCGGCUGAUCUGGCUGGCUAGGCAGGUGUCCUCUUCCUCCAUCACUGCUCCAUGUGUGUCCCUCUCGAAGUUGUGUGCUCGGUGGAAGAGUAUGAAGUCCCAGGUAUAGAAGGAGUGUACCAAGGUCUCCAGUCUUCGGUCCCAGGUAUAGGAUAGCUACGCUCUCCUGCUAGAACCUCCAAACAAACUCAAGUGCUGUGGAAUUCAAAGAGACAUAAAAUGAGGGCGAAAGGGAGAAAUGUGUCAAGAGGAAGACGGCAUGUCAAGCCAACCCUGACCAGGACAGCUUUCCAACUUCUGAUGUCCUUACUC